rnacentral:misc_RNA from 1 species
GAUGAAGAACGCAGCGAAAUGCGAUAAGUAAUGUGAAUUGCAGAAUUCAGUGAAUCAUCGAAUCUUUGAACGCACAUUGCGCCCUCUGGUAUUCCGGGGGGCAUGCCUGUUCGAGCGUCAUUAUAACCACUCAAGCUCUCGCUUGGUAUUGGGGUUCGCGGUUCCGCGGCCCCUAAAAUCAGUGGCGGUGCCUGUCGGCUCUACGCGUAGUAAUACUCCUCGCGAUUGAGUCCGGUAGGUCUACUUGCCAGCAACCCCCAAUUUUUACAGGUUGACCUAGGAUCAGGUAGGGAUACCCGCUGAACUUAAGCAUAUCAAUAAGCGGAGGA